rnacentral:rRNA from 1 species
GACGAACGCUGGCGGCGUGCUUAACACAUGCAAGUCGAACGCUGAACCCGCUUCGGUGGGGGAUGAGUGGCGAACGGGUGAGUAACACGUGGGCAACCUGCCCCCGGCUCUGGGAUAACUCCAAGAAAUUGGGGCUAAUACCGGAUGUGACCGCUGGCCGCAUGGUCUGGUGGUGGAAAGGGUUUCCGGCUGGGGAUGGGCCCGCGGCCUAUCAGCUUGUUGGUGGGGUAGUGGCCUACCAAGGCGACGACGGGUAGCCGGCCUGAGAGGGUGACCGGCCACACUGGGACUGAGACACGGCCCAGACUCCUACGGGAGGCAGCAGUGGGGAAUAUUGCGCAAUGGGCGGAAGCCUGACGCAGCGACGCCGCGUGGGGGAUGACGGCCUUCGGGUUGUAAACCUCUUUCAGCAGGGACGAAGCGGAAGUGACGGUACCUGCAGAAGAAGCACCGGCCAACUACGUG